rnacentral:rRNA from 1 species
GACGAACGCUGGCGGCGUGCUUAACACAUGCAAGUCGUGCGGAAAGGCCCUUUCGGGGGUGCUCGAGCGGCGAACGGGUGAGUAACACGUGAGUAACCUGCCCUGUGCUUGGGGAUAACCCUCGGAAACGGGGGCUAAUACCGGAUGUUCACUUUCUGCCGCAUGGUGGGGGGUGGAAAGGAUUUCGGUCUGGCGCAGGUUGGGCUCGCGGCCUAUCAGCUGGUUGGUGGGGUGAUGGCCUACCAAGGCGACGACGGGUAGCCGGCCUGAGAGGGCGACCGGCCACACUGGGACUGAGACACGGCCCAGACUCCUACGGGAGGCAGCAGUGGGGAAUAUUGCACAAUGGGCGCAAGCCUGAUGCAGCGACGCCGCGUGGGGGAUGACGGCCUUCGGGUUGUAAACCUCUUUCAGCAUCGACGAAGCCGUAAGGUGACGGUAGGUGCAGAAGAAGCGCCGGCCAACUACGUGCCAGCCGCCGCAGUAAAAC